rnacentral:rRNA from 1 species
UACAGAGGUCCCAAGCGUUGUUCGGAUUCACUGGGCGUAAAGGGUGCGCAGGUGGUCGGGUAAGUCUGAUGCGAAAUCUCCGAGCUCAACUCGGAAAUGGCAUUGGAUACUAUUCGGCUAGAGGGUUGGAGGGGGGACUGGAAUUCUCGGUGUAGCAGUGAAAUGCGUAGAUAUCGAGAGGAACACCAGUGGCGAAGGCGAGUCCCUGGACAACUCCUGACGCUGAGGCACGAAAGCUAGGGGAGCAAACAGG